GGGAAGACAUGGGUGGACGAGGGGAGCUGGCUGUGACUCUGCUUGUCUUGGCGCUGAUGGCCUACAUCUGCGAAGCAGCCCUCCUAAGGAGGUCGUCAGCCGCCGACUUUCUGCGGUCGGCGAGGGAAAAGCGUGCCAGCCACUGUGUGAAUGGUGGCUGCAGUUCGGAGGACAGCGAGGCUGAGGAGAUGCUGGAGGCCAACUCUGAUUACGAACAAGACAACUCCAAGUUCUUCUUUCCUGCUGGAUCUCAAACAGGUUUGCUCAAGGCCCCUCUCGGGGACACCAGGCAGGAGGGUUCAGGUAUGUAGCCCUGGGGCGGAAGGCUGGAGGCCAUUGCGUCCAUGUGUCUGCAUUGCCGAGAUUCAGAGAAAGAGAGCCUCGGGGUAUCUGGGCUGUGAUGGCUCCGCUGCGCCGCAUUCAUGGACUGAGGUCCGGAUUCAUGAAGUGUCUUUAGUCUUUUUUUUUCCUUUGUUUUUUCCUUAACAGCUUAAAAUUAGAUCUAAAUCAGAAUAACAGUUACUAUGAUAUCAUCUUAAGGGAAUGCUGUCCAGUGAGAAACAGGUAUCUUUUUAAAAAUGUUGCCACUUUACACAGAAGAGAUAAAAUUUUCUUAACUUUCUAAGGAAGUCAACGUGAAGAGAGAGUUUAUCGACUUAGUCAUUUUGAAGAAUUUCUAUUUGGUCAACUGAUUAGAAAAUUUUAAGACAGUGUAAGGGACAGUUUGUGUGUUCAAAUUAUGUAGUUAACUAAAAAUCGACAAAAAUGGAGAUACUGGUUUGCAGUUACAAAUAGACAAUAUACUUGUUUCUACAUCCUUAAUUCAUUGUCAUACAACACUAUAGGCUCUUCAACUAUGGUCACAAGAUACUACCCACAGGACAAUGUUGGUGGACCACUAUCAGGUGUUUAAAAACUCCAGCAGCACUUCUGCAUUUUAUACUAACAUUAAAAUACCCCCAAUAUUUGAAUUGGUGUCACCCAAUUACAAGUGUCCCACCACCCAUAACCUUAAUAUUUUCUCUUCUGUGGUGGUCCAGUGGGUUCCUGAUCACUGAAGAACACGUUUCCAUCUACAUAUGGUAGAUCACCUGCAACACCUAGAACUAUAUGGUCAUUGUACUAUGAAAAACUAAUUUAGACAUUUUUACUCUGAUUUGGACAUAAUGGGUUGGAUUCCCGGACAGAGCUUUAAGUUAGCCUAGUCUUAUACUAUAUUUUUCUUUCCAUGGAAAAUUUCCAUUCAAAAUGUGGUAUAAGUCCAAGACUAGACUUAAUCCAUGUUUGGGAACCUCCCUCUAAAUGAAUCUGCGAAAUCUUGUACAUUUUUUAAUACAUUUUUAUAUUAAAACAUGAAAAAAGAUGGCCAUUAACACAUAGCAACAAUAUGUAAGAUACUAAAUAAGACUUUCUUAAGAAUGUGUUGUUUUAAAAAUGUAUUCUUAUUUUUAAUUUAAGAAAACAACUUCCUAAAUAUCUCAGUAUUUGGCUUUAAAAUCUACACUGCCAAAAACAACUUUUUAGCAAGUAAAAUGAUCUCGUUUUAUGGCAAUAAGUCUAAUUUUUUACCUGAUGUGUAAAAUUAUUAAGCUUAUAUUACCUAUAAGGAUCUUAAUCACUCUUCCUUAGACUUGUUGGUCCCACUUUGCACUAAGUGUAUGUAAUAACUGUGUAGUUACACAGUAACAAUCAUGUAAUAACUCACGUGUACCUACUGGUGAAGUACAUAUUGCCACAGAUUGAGUGCAGUUGUGCAGGUUAUGUAAUUACACAUGUGUUUCAAGGUCAGUUAAACUUUAAAGGUCAGUAAACGACCUGCAUUCAUUUUCUAUGGAACUACUUCAGUCAUACAGUAUCCAAGGUGUUUCUCAAUUAACUUUUUAAUCAUAGUACAUGAUUUUUUAAUCAUAGUACAUCUUUAUGUUAUUUUUUUCUUUUGGAAUAAAAGCCCUUUUUGUAUCA
ensembl:lncRNA